rnacentral:rRNA from 1 species
CAUGCUGUAAACGAUGAUUGCUAGGUGUGGGGGGACUGACCCCUUCCGUGCCGGAGUCAACACAAUAAGCAAUCCACCUGGGGAGUACGGCCGCAAGGUUGAAACUCAAAGGAAUUGACGGGGGCCCGCACAAGCAGUGGAGUAUGUGGUUUAAUUCGAAGCAACGCGAAGAACCUUACCAGGUCUUGACAUCCAACGAAUCCCGUAGAGAUACGGGAGUGCCUUUCGGGGAACGUUGAGACAGGUGG